GCCAUUUCUGUCUCUGAAGCUGAAAACUACUCCUUUGCACUGGCGAAAACUCACGAAAGACUUGCCCCGUGCAAAGGUGUGGUCACUGGCUAGGCCAACAUUUAUUACCCAUCCCUAAUUGUCCUGAGAACAGUUAAAUGUCAACUGAUUUGCUAUGGAUCUGAAGUCACGCGUAGGAGAGACCAGAUGUCAGAUUGAUCUCCCUGAGAGUCAACCCUGGGAAAGCAGUAGACUUGGGUGGAGUCCUUGGCGGUAGACAUCUUCAACCUCUCUCUGCUACAAACCAAAGUCCAUGCCUGCUUCAAGAAGACCACCAUCAUCCCCGUACCUAUGAAAGCACACACAACGUGCCUUAGUUGGCCCCCCACCAGUGGUUCUGACCUCCAUAAUCAUGAAGUGCUUCGAGAGACUGGUCAUGGCCCACAUCAACGCCAGUCUCUCAACUUGCCGCGAUCCCCUACAAUUUGCCUCCCGAUGUAACAGAUUCAAAGAGGAUGCCUUAUUCCUAGCCAUGCCCCCAUCCCUGAAACAUCUGGACAACAAGGACACCUACAUCAGACUCUUGCUCAUUGACUAUAGUUCCAUCUUCAACACCAUUAUGCCCGCCAGAGUCAUCUCAAAAUUUUGUGACCUUGGUCUUGACUCUGCAACUGGAUCCUCAGCUUUCUGACCCACAGACCGCAAUCAGUAAAUAUAGGUAACUGCACCUCCUCCACAACAACACUCCACGAGCCCAUCCAGGAUACGUUCUCAGCCUGUAUUCCCUGUACACCUACAACUGUGCAGCCAAAUUCCAAAUGGACACCAUCUACAAGUUUUCUGAUGACACCAACAUAGUGGGAUGGACAUCAAACAACAAUGUGUAGGAAUACAGAAAGGAGAUAGAGGGCUUGGUGUUGUGAUGCAAUGAUAACAGCCUCUCUCUCUCAAUAUCGGCAAAGCUAAAAAACUGAUCAUUGAAUUCAGAAAAAAUGAGGAGAAGACACCCCAUCUACAUCAACGGAGCUGAGAUUGAGAGGGUGGAGAGUGUCAAGCUCCAAGGAGUGACUAUAACCAGCAUCUCUCCUGGACUUCUCAUGUAGGUGCGAUGGUCAAGAAGGCACAACACCUUGUGUUCCUCAGGUGGCUCAGGAGAUACAGCAUGCCCAUAAGAACCAACUUUUACAGAUGCACCAUUGAAAGCAUACUGUCAGGAUGCAUAACGGCCUGGUGCAGCAACUGUUCUGCCCAGGACUGUAAGAAACUGCAGACGGUUGUGUGCACAGUGCAGAUCGUCACAGAAGCCAACAUCCCGUCCUUGGACUCCAUUUACAU